rnacentral:rRNA from 1 species
CAAUAGCGUAUAUUUAAGUUGUUGCAGUUAAAAAGCUCGUAGUUGGAUUUCGGGUGGGACGCAGCGGUCUCGCAUUGCGUUUGUACUGCUGCAGCCCUCCUUCUUGCCGGGGGCGGCCUCUCGGACUUCACUGUCUGGGGGUCAGAAUCGGCGAUGUUACUUUGAGUAAAUUAGAGUGUUCAAAGCAAGCCUACGCUCUGAAUACAUUAGCAUGGAAUAACACGAUAGGACUCUGGCUUAUCUUGUUGGUCUGUGAGACCAGAGUAAUGAUUAAGAGGGACAGUCGGGGGCAUUCGUAUUUCAUUGUCAGAGGUGAAAUUCUUGGAUUUAUGAAAGACGAACUUCUGCGAAAGCAUUUGUCAAGGAUGUUUNCAUUA